UAGGCGGGCUGGACCUCUCGGGGUUACAGCCUUGCUGAAUUAUUCACCCUUGUCUUUUGCGUACUUCUUGUUUCCUUGGUGGGUUCGCCCACCACUAGGACAAACAUAAACCUUUUGUAAUUGCAAUCAGCGUCAGUAACAAAUUAAUAAUUACAACUUUCAACAACGGAUCUCUUGGUUCUGGCAUCGAUGAAGAACGCAGCGAAAUGCGAUAAGUAGUGUGAAUUGCAGAAUUCAGUGAAUCAUCGAAUCUUUGAACGCACAUUGCGCCCUUUGGUAUUCCAAAGGGCAUGCCUGUUCGAGCGUCAUUUGUACCCUCAAGCUUUGCUUGGUGUUGGGCGUCUUGUCUCUAGCUUUGCUGGAGACUCGCCUUAAAGUAAUUGGCAGCCGGCCUACUGGUUUCGGAGCGCAGCACAAGUCGCACUCUCUAUCAGCAAAGGUCUAGCAUCCAUUAAGCCUUUUUUUCAACUUUUGACCUCGGAUCAGGUAGGGAUACCCGCUGAACUUAAGCAUAUCAA
rnacentral:rRNA from 1 species